rfam:Caenorhabditis brenneri strain PB2801 C_brenneri-6.0.1_Cont128.7, whole genome shotgun sequence.
CCAACGGCUCUCUUCAGAGCCACAAAAUCCUCAAUAAUCCUGAAAU